rnacentral:pre_miRNA from 1 species
AUACUACUUCCUCCGUUUUGAAUUAUUUGUCUAGAUACGGAUGUAUCUAGACUCAUUUUAGUAUUAGAUAUCUCUGUAUCUAGACAAAUCUAAAACAAGUAAUUCGGAACAGAGGGAGUACUAU